GAAAAGAACCCCGGGAGGGGAGUGAAAUAGAACCUGAAACCCUGCACUUACAAGCUGUGGAAGCACAUUUCUUGUGUGACCGCGUACUUUUUGUAGAACGGGCCAACGAGUUACGUUAAGUAGCAAGGUUAAGCACUUAAGGUGCGGAGCCGUAGCGAAAGCGAGUUUUAACUGAGCGUUCAGUUACUUGACGUAGACCCGAAACCGGGCGACCUACCCAUGAGCAGGAUGAAGCGAAAGUAAAAUUUCGUGGAGGUCCGAACCCACGAGCGUUGAAAAGCUCGGGGAUGACUUGUGGGUAGCGGUGAAAUUCCAAUCGAGCCCGGAGAUAGCUGGUUCUCCCCGAAAUAGCUUUAGGGCUAGCCUCAAGGUGAGAGAUACGGAGGUAGAGCACUGAAUGUCCUAGGGGGUAUUGCACCUACCGAAGACUAUCAAACUCCGAAUGCCGUCAUCUUAUACUUGGGAGUCAGACUGUGGGUGAUAAGAUUCAUAGUCGAAAGGGCAACAGCCCAGAUCGUCAGCUAAGGUCCCUAAAUGUAAGUUAAGUGGUAAAGGAUGUGGGAUUGCACAGACAACCAGGAUGUUGGCUUAGAAGCAGCCACUCAUUCAAAGAGUGCGUAAUAGCUCACUGGUCGAGUGAUCCUGCGCCGAAGAUUUCCGGGGCUAAAACUUACUACCGAAGCUACGGCAUCAGUAAUGAUGGGUAGGGGAGCUUCCCAUACGGGUUGAAGCAUGACCGUAAGGACAUGUGGACAGUAUGGGAGUGAGAAUGUUGGCAUGAGUAGCGAGAUGUGGGUGAGAAUCCCACAGGCCGUAAACCCAAGGUUUCCAGGGGAAGGUUCGUCCGCCCUGGGUUAGUCGGGACCUAAGCUGAGGCCGAAAGGCGUAGGUGAUGGACAACAGGUUGAUAUUCCUGUACUACCGAUAACCGUUUGAGAGAAGGGAUGACACAGUAGGAUAAGCUAAGCACACUGUUGGUUAUGUGUGCCCAAGCAUUGAGGCAGUCAAAGUAGGCAAAUCCGCUUUGAUAAUGCUGGGAUGUGAUGGGGAGCGAAAUUUAGUAGCGAAGUAGCUGAUUUCACACUGUCAAGAAAAGUCUCUAUCGAGGUUAAAGGUACCCGUACCGCAAACCGACACAGGUGGGUGAGGAGAGUAUCCUAAGGCCAGCGAGAGAACUGUUGUUAAGGAACUCGGCAAAAUGACCCCGUAACUUAGGGAUAAGGGGUGCCACCAUCAGGUGGCCGCAGAGAAUAGGCCCAAGCGACUGUUUACCAAAAACAUAGGUUUCUGCUAAGUCGCAAGACGAUGUAUAGGAGCUGACGCCUGCCCGGUGCUGGAAGGUUAAGGGGAUCUGUUAGAGCAAUCGAAGCAGUGAACUUAAGCCCCAGUAAACGGCGGCCGUAACUAUAACGGUCCUAAGGUAGCGAAAUUCCUUGUCGGGUAAGUUCCGACCCGCACGAAAGGCGUAACGAUUUGGGCACUGUCUCAACAACAGACUCGGUGAAAUUGUAAUUCCGGUGAAGAUGCCGGAUACCUGCGACAGGACGGAAAGACCCCAUGGAGCUUUACUGUAGCUUGACAUUGGGUCUUGGUACUACAUGUACAGGAUAGGUGGGAGGCUUUGAAACCAGGACGCCAGUUUUGGCGGAGCCAUCCUUGGGAUACCACCCUUGUAGUACUGGGACUCUAACCAUAGGCCAUGAAUCUGGUCUUGGGACACUGUCAGGUGGGCAGUUUGACUGGGGCGGUCGCCUCCCAAAAGGUAACGGAGGCGCUCAAAGGUUCUCUCAGUACGGUCGGAAAUCGUACGUAGAGUGUAAAGGCAAAAGAGAGCUUGAUUGCAAGACAUACAGGUCGAGCAAGGAUGAAAAUCGGACUUAGUGAUCCGGUGGUUCUGCGUGGAAGGGCCAUCGCUCAACGGAUAAAAGCUACCCUGGGGAUAACAGGCUUAUCUCCCCCAAGAGUCCACAUCGACGGGGAGGUUUGGCACCUCGAUGUCGGCUCAUCACAUCCUGGGGCUGUAGUAGGUCCCAAGGGUUGGGCUGUUCGCCCAUUAAAGUGGUACGCGAGCUGGGUUCAGAACGUCGUGAGACAGUUCGGUCCCUAUCCGUCGCAGGCGUAGGAAAUUUGAGAAGACCUGUCCUUAGUACGAGAGGACCGGGAUGGACGUACCUCUGGUGUACCAGUUGUCCUGCCAAGGGCAUGGCUGGGUAGCUAUGUACGGAAUGGAUAAGCGCUGAAAGCAUCUAAGCGCGAAGCCAACUUCAAGAUAAGAUUUCCCACCGCAAGGGUAAGACCCCAGAAAGACUAUCUGGUUGAUAGGUCGAAGGUGUAAGUGCAGCAAUGUAUUUAGCUUAUCGAUACUAAUAGGUCGAGGACUUGACCAA
rnacentral:rRNA from 1 species